ACCAAAAUAGCUCAGUUGAGAGAGCGAAACUGUAGAUCGAAAAGCCCCUGGUUCGAUCCCGGGUUCCGGCA
rnacentral:tRNA from 1 species